UACCAGCUCUCCGAGUGGUGGGGAUGCUUAUUGGGCCUAAAGCAUUCGUAGCCGGCUGGGCAAGUCCUCCGUUAAAUCCAGCGAUUCAAUCGUUGGACUGCAGGGGAUACUGUCCGGCUAGGGGGCGGAAGAGGCCGACGGUAUUCUCGGGGUAGGGGUGAAAUCCUAUAAUCCCGGGAGGACCACCAGUGGCGAAGGCUGUCGGCUAGAACGCGCCCGACGGUGAGGGAUGAAAGCUGGGGGAGCGAACCGGAUUAGAUACCCGGGUAGUCCCAGCUGUAAACGAUGCAGGCUAGGUGUUGGCGCGGCUACGUGCCGCUCCAGUGCCGCAAGGAAGCCGUUAAGCCUGCCGCCUGGGAAGUACGGCCGCAAGGCUGAAACUUAAGGAAUUGGCGGGGAGCACCACAAGGGGUGAAGCUUGCGGUUU
rnacentral:rRNA from 1 species